rnacentral:rRNA from 1 species
UACGUAGGGGGCAAGCGUUGGUCCGGAAUCAUUGGGCGUAAAGAGCGUGUAGGCGGCCCGGUAAGUCCGCUGUGAAAGUCCAGGGCUCAACCCUGGGAUGCCGGUGGAUACUGUCGGGCUCGAGUCCGGAAGAGGAGUGUGGAAUUCCUGGUGUAGCGGUGAAAUGCGCAGAUAUCAGGAGGAACACCAAUGGCGAAGGCAGCUCGCUGGGACGGUACUGACGCUGAGACGCGAAAGCGUGGGGAGCAAACAGG